rnacentral:tmRNA from 1 species
GGGGACGCGUGGAUUCGACAUGGGGUGUGAUUNCANGAUUGCAGGUCGAGGUGCCGUCAACCCUCGUAAAUCUGGCGGUAAAAAAUUUAACUGGCGAAAAAAAGCUAGCACUGGCUGCCUAGAGCAGCCACGUUCCUCUUUUACGUUUCCCGUAGUAACUGAGAGAGCGACAUAAUUCGGGAUGCUCUUCUUUGAAGCCGUUUCAUNGANGAAAAGACUUNGGCUAAGCUUGAAAAGAUCUAAGGUCGGGUCAAGACUAUUCAAGUGAAAUACNAGCCCCGACUAUAUCUGUAGUAUAUUUUGCAAAAUCACCUUUUGGACGGGGAGUUCGACCCUCCCCCGUCUCCACCA